rnacentral:rRNA from 1 species
GAUGAACGCUGGCGGCGUGCCUAAUACAUGCAAGUCGAACGAGUGGCGAACGGGUGAGUAACACGUGGGAAACCUACCCUUCAGCGGGGGAUAACCAUCGGAAACGAUGACUAAUACCGCAUACUGAAGGAUGGUCCCGCGGUGCAUUAGCUAGCCGGUGGGGUAACGGCCUACCGUGGCUUUGAUGCAUAGCCGACCUGAGAGGGUGAUCGGCCACAGUGGGACUGAGACACGGCCCAAACUCCUACGGGAGGCAGCAGUAGGGAAUAUUGGACAUUGGGCGAAAGCCUGAUCCAGCCAUGCCGCGUGUGUGAAGAAGGUCUUCGGAUUGUAAAGCACUUUAAGUUGGGAGGCGUUACCAACAGAAUAAGCACCGGCUAACUUCGUGCCAGCAGCCGCGGUAAUAC